UAGAAACCUCUGAGGUGGAUU
rnacentral:miRNA from 1 species